CUGGCUCCCGAACUCUUUCUGGAGCCUGAUGUGGCCUCGACGAGGGCUCUGAAGUCCUUGCUGGUAGCCGCCCAUCUUCGAGACUUCCAAGGUGGAGGCCCUUCACCAGCUUGAGCAAGGCUGCCAAGGAGCUCCGUUGGUUGAGGCUGCCUGAAAUGUCUACUCGGGCACGAUGUGAGACGCCCCCAAACUGGACAGCCCCCUCUCAGGUGACAGCGCAGGGAUUCCGGCCCCUCCAGGCCAAAAGGUAAGAUGGGAGAGAUGCUGAAGCCCCUCAAUACGAGGAGUCACAAAAGAGAGAGGAAGCCGCUCAGUAGGGCGACGUGAUCAACAAUGGAUAUUGAUUAAGAAACGAACUGUUACUGUUUCGAGAUACUGAUUGGGGGGUUGUUUGUUAGAGCAGCUAUCACUAAUUAUCCUGAUGAAUGUUGUUUCGCUGUAUCGCCCAAAGCUUUCAUUCAACUUCUCUUUGUCUUUGAUGGAGUUUAUUGACAACCUCCUGUAUUGCAACAAUUGCACAUUUGCGGCUCCUGAUUAUAACAGCAAGGAGAUUGUUAUGAAAGUUCACAAAACCCAGCAAUCACAAGCCUGGGAAUUUGUCUCGGAAAAAUAAACAUUUAUAUGCAGGUAAACACCUGUAUAGGAUGGUUCAUAAGUAGCUUUACUUGUGAUAGCUCCAAACAGGAAACAACGGAAAUAUCCCUCCAUAGAUGAAUGGUUUAAAAAAAAUGGUACUUUCAUACCAGAGAAUGCUACUCAGGAAUUAAAGAAAACAAACUAUUGGAUUCAAGACCUAAAUGUGAGACCUGAAAUCAUAAAACUCCAGAAAGGAAAUAUAGAUAGUGAUCCCUUGGAAGUCAGCCUUAGUAACAUAUUUAUGGGUAUGUCCCUUUAGGCAAGGAGAAUAAAAACAAAAAUAAACUAUUGGGACUACACCAAAAUAAAAAGAU